CCAUGUUAUGAUUGUCUCUACGAAACACUUGGCAGUCAACUUUCAUAAAUAGCACAUUGAAACCAAAGUCUGCUAGUCUAGAUACGGAAAGAAGAUUAUAGUCAAGGGAUUCAACAAGCAUGGCAUUUUGAAUGGAACUAUCAUGAGAUAUGGCCACCUUACCAAGACCAAGUACCUUACCCUUGGAGUUGUCUCCAAAGGUCACAUACCUUCGAGGUCCAUGGUUUAGUGUCAUCUUAUGGAACAUGUCUUUAUCUCCGAUCAUGUGAUCAGUGCAUCCACUGUGAAGAACCACUCCUUACCUCCAGCCAUGUAGUCUCCAAGGUUCACCUUAAGACUAAGAUUCCUCAUGGUCUUAUCAUACUUGAUGC
rnacentral:lncRNA from 1 species